AAAGAAACUAACAAGGAUUCCCCUAGUAACUGCGAGUGAAGCGGGAAAAGCUCAAAUUUAAAAUCUGAUGGUCUUGGCCAUCCGAGUUGUAAUUUAGAGAAGCAUCUUCCGCGCUGGGCCGUGUACAAGUCUCCUGGAAUGGAGCGUCAUAGAGGGUGAGAAUCCCGUCUUUGGCACGGAAAUGUCAGUGCUUUUGUGAUAUGCUCUCAAAGAGUCGAGUUGUUUGGGAAUGCAGCUCAAAAUGGGUGGUGAACUCCAUCUAAAGCUAAAUAUUGGCGAGAGACCGAUAGCGAACAAGUACCGUGAGGGAAAGAUGAAAAGCACUUUGGAAAGAGAGUGAAACAGUACGUGAAAUUGUUGAAAGGGAAACGCUUGAAGUCAGUCAUGUUGAUUAAGACUCAGCCUUGCCUUGGCUUGGUGUAAUUCUUAGUUAACAGGUCAGCAUCAAUUUUGACCCUUGGAUAAUGAUAAGAGAAAUGUGUCACCUUUAUGGUGAGUUAUAGUCUUUUGUCGCAUACAAGGGUUGAAAUUGAGGAACUCAGCAUGCACCUUUUGGUGUCGGGGCUUUAGCUCACGCUACGUGCUUAGGAUGCUGGCAUAAUGGCUUUAAACGACCCGUCUUGAAACACGGACCAAGGAGUCUAACAUACAUGCAAGUGUUUGGGUGGAAAACCCGUGCGCGUAAUGAAAGUAAAAGUUGGGACCUUUGUCAUGAAGGGCACCGACGCCCGGACCAGACCUUCUGUGACGGCUCUGCGGUAAAGCAUGUAUGUUAGGACCCGAAAGAUGGUGAACUAUGCCUGAAUAGGGUGAAGCCAGAGGAAACUCUGGUGGAGGCUCGUAGCGAUUCUGACGUGCAAAUCGAUCGUCAAAUUUGGGUAUAGGGGCGAAAGACUAAUCGAACCAUCUAGUAGCUGGUUCCUGCCG
rnacentral:rRNA from 1 species